CCAGAUACUGUGGCUGACUUUGGUCGACAGUUGUUAUACAGGUUUUUUGCACCUGCCAUUUCUCUGAUUUUAUAUACAUGUGGAUUCUUGGCAGUCCCUCGGCAGUCAGUUUAGGCAGUCAGUUUAGGGCUUCUCAACCUGGCCUCUCUAGGUCUCUCUGGGUAUUUGUGAAGUCCUCGCAGCUCCUUGCAGAAUCACACAUAUAUGAGGAAGGUCAGCCAGAACAAAGGGAUAAAAAGGAAUGCAGCUGGAAAUGGUAAUAUAUAUGUAUAAUCACAGCACUGGGGAAACUGAGGCAGGAGGAUUGUUCUGAGUUUGAGGUCAGCCUGAGUUAUAAUGUGCUCUAGGCCUCUUGAGCUGCAGAAUAAGAUCUUGUCUCAAAAUGAACAACAAAACAACAAUGAGUAAAAACCAAAACAAAAUGGUAAGAACUGCCACCAAAGGUGUCCCCAGCUAGGGAGGAAUGAAAGGGACUUUGUAAGAUUAAAAUAUAAAGGUUUAACCUUAACACAGCGAUCUCCAUCAUAUCUAAUACAGGGACCACAGCACUCAUACACACACACACACACACACACACACACACACACACACACACCCCGCUCCUCAGGGCUUCAGAGCAGCGUCUAGGACUGAGCCCAGGGUGGCCGAGAGGCCUAAGUCUGUCUGAUGGAUCCUGGCUAAGGAAACAUUGAGCGAGCAGGUUUACCAGGAAGCUGAUGGACACUUUCUGCCAGUUUCUUUGUGUAGCUCUGGCUAUCCUGGAACUCACUCUGUAGACCAAGCAGAACUCCAACUCACAGAGAUCGGCCUGUGAGCACUGGGAUUAAAGAAGCGCACCAUCGUCACCCAGGCCAACAUCUAUUUCCUAAUAAUAAAUACUAAAAUCCAACCACAAA